UUUGGAGGUCUCUGAAAGAAAGGGAAGGCAAAUAUUCAACGUUCCUUUCUGAAGAGUAAGGACGUGGUUGAUUGGUUCAGCAGCGAAUAGGCCCCAUUAGCUGCUUGUAUUUCAACAGAUGUCAUCAAAAUCACGGCGAGAGAAAGAUAAUUCUAUGAUCAGGCCGUGUCAAGGCAAAGAGAAAGUAGAGAAAAAGGCAAUUUUUGAAGGCAGGUGAAACAGACCGCCGUGUAAAGAAACCGGAUUAGAUAACGGGAGAGAAGAAACAAGGAACAAUAAAAAGAAGUUCUCAGUAAAGCCAUAACACAGUCAUUGAAGUUGGUAUUAAAAGGCUGAACUAUAAAGAUAAGGUCAGAGCGAAAGGGGAUCGUUCACAAUGCU